rnacentral:rRNA from 1 species
GACAGAGGGUGCAAGCGUUAAUCGGAAUGACUGGGCGUAAAGGGCGCGUAGGUGGUAAGAGAAGUUGGAUGUAAAAGACCUAAGCUUAACUUUGGAAGUGCAUCCAAAACUGACUUACUCGAGUUUAGCAGAGGGAAGCGGAAUUUCCAGUGUAGCGGUGAAAUGCGUAGAUAUUGGAAGGAACACCAGAAGCGAAGGCGGCUUCCUGGGCUAAAACUGACACUGAGGCGCGAAAGCAUGGGGAG